GAUUGAACGCUGGCGGCAUGCCUUACACAUGCAAGUCGAACGGUAACAGGUCUUCGGACGCUGACGAGUGGCGAACGGGUGAGUAAUACAUCGGAACGUGCCCAGUCGUGGGGGAUAACUACUCGAAAGAGUAGCUAAUACCGCAUACGAUCUGAGGAUGAAAGCGGGGGACCUUCGGGCCUCGCGCGAUUGGAGCGGCCGAUGGCAGAUUAGGUAGUUGGUGGGAUAAAAGCUUACCAAGCCGACGAUCUGUAGCUGGUCUGAGAGGACGACCAGCCACACUGGGACUGAGACACGGCCCAGACUCCUACGGGAGGCAGCAGUGGGGAAUUUUGGACAAUGGGCGAAAGCCUGAUCCAGCAAUGCCGCGUGCAGGAUGAAGGCCUUCGGGUUGUAAACUGCUUUUGUACGGAACGAAAAAGCUUCUCCUAAUACGAGAGGCCCAUGACGGUACC
rnacentral:rRNA from 1 species